rnacentral:rRNA from 1 species
UACAGAGACUGCAAGCGUUAUUCGGAUUCACUGGGCGUAAAGGGUGCGCAGGCGGCCAAGUGUGUGAGGCGUGGAAAGCCCGGGGCUUAACCCCGGAAUUGCACCUCAAACUACAUGGCUAGAGCAUUGGAGAGGGUAGCGGAAUUCACGGUGUAGCAGUGAAAUGCGUAGAUAUCGUGAGGAACACCAGAGGCGAAGGCGGCUACCUGGACAAUUGCUGACGCUUAGGCACGAAAGCGUGGGGAGCAAAAGGG